GGAGCUGGCCGGGCAAUCGCCGUACCGGGCGGGCCUUGUCGGCGACGAUAGAGGUUCGGUGCCGGUGCGGAGGAAAGUCCGGGCUCCACAGGGCAGGGUGCCAGGUAACGCCUGGGGGACGCGAGUCCACGGAAAGUGCCACAGAAAAUACACCGCCCGCUUUUUCCCCAAUGCCAGGCAAACGGGGGAGAGGCAGGUAAGGGUGAAAAGGUGCGGUAAGAGCGCACCGCGCCCCAGGUAACUGGGGUGGCAGGGUAAACCCCACCCGGAGCAAGACCAAAUAAGGGGCGAGAUUGCGCCUUUGCGCGUAGUCCGGGCGUGGCCCGCGCCGGCCCCGGGUAGGUCGCUAGAGGCGUGUGGCGACAUACGCCGAAGAUGAAUGAUUGUCCUCGACAGAACCCGGCUUACAGGCCGGCUCCCGUA
rnacentral:RNase_P_RNA from 1 species